rnacentral:rRNA from 1 species
UACGGGGGGGGCAAGCGUUGUUCGGAAUUACUGGGCGUAAAGGGCGCGUAGGCGGCCUUCUAAGUCGAACGUGAAAUCCCCGGGCUCAACCCGGGAACUGCGUCCGAUACUGGAAGGCUUGAAUCCGGGAGAGGGAUGCGGAAUUCCUGGUGUAGCGGUGAAAUGCGCAGAUAUCAGGAGGAACACCGAUUGCGAAGGCAGCUCGCUGGGACGUAACUGACGCUGAGACGCGAAAGCGUGGGGAGCAAACAGG